UACGGAGGGUGCGAACGUUAAUCGGAAUCACUGGGCGUAAAGCGCGCGUAGGCGGUUUGUUAAGUGGGAUGUGAAAUCCCCGGGCUUAACCUGGGAAUUGCAUUUCAAACUGGCCGACUAGAGUACGGUAGAGGGAGGUAGAAUUUCCUGUGUAGCGGUGAAAUGCGUAGAUAUAGGAAGGAAUACCAGUGGCGAAGGCGGCCUCCUGGAUCGAUACUGACGCUGAGGCGCGAAGGCCAGGGGAGCAAACGGG
rnacentral:rRNA from 1 species